ensembl:lncRNA
CCCCAGUGGCGGGUAAUUCCUUUGAAUUGAUCUUACAUGCAAAUACUGCCCGUUUUUAAAAGUCGACGUGCAGCUGCAGCCUCUCACAUAAGCGAAAAAAGGCAUCUUUUCUGCAAUCACUGCAACAUUAUAGCAGGUUUUUGAAUAGGAUCCACUAUAUGUAGUAAUAGCAGACAGGCACUUGAUGAAUUACACGUGUCUGUCCUUCUUACUUCCCAGGCCCAGAGGACAGAACCGCCGCCUCAGCAGAAACGUGAAAUAUUCACGACUGGUCCGUAACGAGCUGGACAUGAAACGCUCCUCUUGGCCUCCCGGCCCACACAUUCCACGCGCAGGAAUCAAGCUAAACGCUUGUUGUUCUUCCCGCUGUGGCGAAGUUGGCAGUGAACUUUUGCCAGCGUUUGACUUUGCUCUCCCCUCCUUGUUCCUUUGCCUUGUUUGCUCUUUGUCAGCGUGUCAGAAUAAUGAGGGCAAGAGAAACGCUGCGGAGAAGCGACGGCCAGCUCAGUGCCCCGCAUGAAUAUUCAGUCCCCGCAUAUGGCGCCGCGCACGAGGAUCUGCAUUCACUCGCAGGCACUAAUUAGGAUGCCCGGUUUGAAAGGAAGCGGCUGCGGUUGCUGUCAAAGAGCCUCCCGGGCUUAGUUAGGAGUUUUUCUCCACUCGAAAAAAAAGGGGAAACCAGGGAGGAGGAGGAGGAGGAGGAAGUGGAUUAUCUAAGUGUGGACUGACCUGUGAGGAGACACUGAGGAGCUUUUAUUAGGGAGAGAGAGAGAGAGAGAAUGUCACGUCACGUCAUGGAUCACCGAGCUCCCUUUUUUAAAGGGUAAUACUUUGGUUUGUUGUGUUUUUGAGUUUGUUUCAGGUUCAUCUCUGCUUGCAGAUAUCAGAGCAUUUUUUUUACUCUUGAUCAGGAUGAAUAACAACACCCACAGACAGGAACGAGCAACCAAAGUAAACACGGCGAAUCUCUGUUCGUUAUCUUACAUUCAGAAGUGUUUUCAUUUCAGUCCAAUUACGGAAUAAUUUGGAACAUAUUGCAAUGUAACGUGAUCCAACCGCGACAAUGCACCAAAUUACACGCUGCGAAGGGACUCGGAUGACAGAAGAAUAGAAAUAAGCUCCACACGGGUGCUGUUCAUUCCCGGGGAAAGUGUUGCAUAACAACACAUUCGUGCUGUUUUGUCCAGAACGUGUUCAUGCGCUCAGUCACAUGAAAUGAAUACAAGCUAUUCCAGGAAAUAAUCUAUAAAGGAAAUGUUUCCCAUCACUUCUUCUGUCCCGCGACAGAUUUGUGUCACUGCAGGAACAUUAUUACUCCCACCACCUAAAUAAAUAAAUAAAAAAGCCUGACUCGCGAUAAUACCAACAGCACAACACGAGUGGAUGUUGUGUAAGUGGUGGAGAAAAAUGGGACAGCUUGAUUGGUGUGGGAGUGCUUGGAGAUUAAAGAGGACGGCAGUGUCAACUUUGCACAAGAUGAUUGGCGCUUGCGAAGGAGAGAUAACUGUGCGCGUCCCGGGCCCGCGGCGCUCUCUUGCACGGGUCACAACAGUCUGUAAUUAAAGUAAAUAUUGUGGCGAGUGUGAGGAAAUACUCAAAUCAAAGCAUCCAAGCUCCAUAGUAAUGUUCAUUCCUGGACAUUUAGCAUGCUUCAGCAUCCCGCUGUUUCGAUGCAGCGGCCUCGCUGAGAGCAGUGAGGGGGCAGCGAAGGGUUUGUUGUGUUCAUCACGAUCUGCACGCAGCCUCACUGGCCCUCAACAAGGGUUCCGAGUGGGAGCCACGCAUUCUGCAUCCAGAGGCCAUUAAAAAAUAUUGUACAUCGUGCAAUAUUCUUAAAUGUAUUCCAAACAAAUAUAGCAAUGAGGAAAAAAAAUUGACACAGACAGAAAAAUAUGCAUGUUCCCUAAAUAGCGUUGGCACUCCGGGUCUGGUGAUGCAUUCAGGAAUCAGGAAUCAGGAAACAUUUAUUGCCAAAAUAUGUCAAACAUACAAGGAAUUUGACUUGGCGGUUGGUGCGCGACAGUAGACAGUGUGACAAUAGACAACAAGACAGCAGUGCACAAGUAAUAAAAUAUAAUGCUAUGGGUUAGUAGAAUAAGGCUAUGGGUUAGUAUAAAAUAAGAGAAUAAAGUUAAAGUUAAACAUAUUUAAAAGGUUAAAAAACAUUAAAAAAUAAAGUGCACUAGCGAACAAGUGACAAAGUGACGAGUGACGACAAAGAGAAGAAACUGUUUAUGUGGCGGGAGGUCUUAGUCCUGAUGGACCUCAGCCUCCUGCCAGAUGGAAGGGGCACAAACAGUUUUUGUCCGGGGUGAGAUGGGUCGGCCACCAUCUUUUUAGCUCGCUUCAGAGACCUGGAAGCGAACAAGUCCUGCAGGGACGGCAGAUUGCAGCCGAUCAGCCUCUCUGCAGAGCGGAUGACCCGCUGAAGCCUGCCCUCGUCCUUGGCUGUGGCUGCAGCGUACCAGACGGUGAUGGAGGAGCAGAGGAUGGACUCCAUGAUGGCCGUGUAGAAGUGCACCAUCAUCGUCUUUGGCAGGUUGAAUUCCUUCAGCUGCCUCAGGAAGAACAACAUCUGCUACAACCUCACUUGUUUUAUACAAUUGUUUGCCUGUGCGUGUGUGUGUGUGUGUGUGUGUGUGUGUGUGCGCGCCGCUCGGCCCGUCCCAAAAGUGCAGUUAGUGGAGUGUAAAGUGGUGACCACAUCCUGACUCUGAGGUGGCCUCAUCGGAGGGAACCGACCCGUCCGGCUCUCAGGAUGAGUUAAAGUUUUGCCCUGCUGUAAAUAUCCGGCGAGCCACUAAAUAGCUGUUUGGUGGUUUGAGGCGGACGAAUCUCCUUCCUGCUGAUAAAGUAUCUCUAAGAGUCGUCAUUCAUGAGGACAACAACGCAAACCCAGGCGUGGACCGAGUCCAAGACCGCAGCCAGUGUAAGGGGACACUGCCUGUAUAACUACCACAGAUCUUCAUCGCGUAAACAGGCGUCUGCGUGUUUCACGAAUGUUGCUAAAUACGAUUUCAAAGGUUUCUUCGGUUGGAAUGAAUUCAUGAAAAUCAUUAACUUUAUUUACUGACCAAUAUGCCAGAGGACAGCUCAUGUUUAUUGGCAGCUAGCUGGGAAGCACAGAACAGUUUUAUUUUUGCAUCAUGGCCAUGCGGCUCUCCAAUGUUGCAGGAGAUGUUGUUUGUGUUUGUGGAGCUGGACUCCUGUGCUGAGCUCUGGGCAAAGCUAACCCUGAUGUCAGAAUGUCCUAAAUAAGCGUUCCGAGGCCACAUGUUGUAAACCGCCGCGUAAACACAGCCAGCGGUGGGGCAGCUGUGCUCCAACAAGAAGGUUUAAACCUCUCUGAGGGCCCAAACACCCACACCGAGUUAACAAUCCAGGUAAACAAAGGUACGACUGUCCUGCCCAACGAGGAGCCCGCUGCCAAACGCUGAAGCAUUUAAUCGAGGGAUGGGAUUCAGGCGGCUGAUCAACACGUCCAUAUGGCGGCUUAAUGGAUUCGCCCACAAUCGAGCGAGUUUACCUCUGGAAACAAAGAGCCUCUCAGUUGGAAAGCCUUCAGCGUGCGCGCUGUUGAUACAGAGACCUUCUCGGGGAAUGGAUGCCGGCGAUAUCUGAGCCGUGGGCUUAAUCCUGCGUGAGUGGUGCUGCAUGUAGAGUUUGGAGCAUGAUGAAGUGACUGUUCUCACGCACACACACACACACACACACAUACACGCAGUUUCCAUUACUUUAGAGGACAUUGCAUUGACCUCCAGCUAUUUCCCGGAGACUUAGUCUAACCCUAAUCGCUUCUUGCCUUGUCCCAACCUCACCACAGCCUUAAACCGAGUAUAAUGAGUUAAGUCUUGCGUAAACACAACACAAUGAGUAAUAGAUGCCCACACAGUACGGUUUAGCGUUGGAGCAGUAGAAGUAGACAAUACAACGGUCUUGGAUCAGAAUUUUUCCGUAACUUUUUCUGAUUUACUGUCAUUUUGAUUUAUUCAAUGCUUCGUAGUCACAGAAAUAAUCUUCAACCGUGCAAAUAAAACACGAGGAAUGAACCAAUAACUGCUCCAUUAAUGAAACACGUUGCAGUUUUGUGGCACCUUUCAGUCCCUCAAAUGUGAUAAAAUAACAAAUAUUUAAUCAAUCGGGGCUUUGACUGAAAUAAAAUAAGAGAACAAACCUCUAGCUGAAAUGAGUUAUUCGAAUCAUCUGUUCAUAUGCAAAUUAUUUUUUUGAUGGAAAAUGAAGCCAAAAUUCCAUCACAUUUCCCCAGAUCUAAGUCAGUAUCUCUAAGUAGGUUUUUCUGGUCCAAAAUUCAAAGAUUUUAAAUUAAAAUCACAUAAACUAAAAGGAAAGUAACAAAUCCGGAAAAAUUAGCAGUUGUAAAAGGAGUUGUUUGUUCAUUCACAAUCAAGAUUUAUAUAUCUAUUUAAAAAAUAUAUGUUUUUCCUCCUUCUCUGGGCCGUUGAUGAAUUUGCAUAUGAAUGAAUAUAGACGUAUAAAUAAUAUCAUUUAAGUAUUUGAUUUAGAACCUUUUACCCGAUCCCACCAGCUGCAUUUCAGCUGUUAAUCUACUCACAGAAAAGACUUUAUAAGGCAGCGUUAUCCUAAAAGCACAAUGUUUAGACCUAAAAGAGCCUCGCAUCAAUCUGUUUAUCCACACUGACACUGUUUACUGAGGACCUCGUGGAGAGAAAGACCCGGAAGGUUGAUAGCAAGCAGUGUGUUCAGCUGCAAAGGGAACCGGGAUAUUUGUGAAUAUUUCAAGCCCUGCUUUUAACGCUCUCAUUCGGUUUCUUUUAUUCUUUUGCCAAAUCUCUGCAUCAACGCAUCCUUCUCCUCCUCCUCUUCCUCCUCUUCCUCCUCCUCCUCCUCCUCUGUCUUUGGAUACGCUCGUCUCCUCCAGCGGGCUUCAUCUCCUCGCAGGCCGCUUGGAGUUGGCCACGUUGACAGAACGUCUCCUCCCGGAGGGAUACACAGGUUUUCAAGCUGGGACAGAGACCGAGGACACUUGAAUUAACAACCCUCCAUACGUGCACACACACACACACACACACACACGCACACACAUUUUUGUCCCAUACGCUCAUCACUAUUCAUCACUAGUCUUCUGCAUGUCCUUAAAAGCUGACAGGGGGGAUGGAGAGACACAGGAAGUGGGAGAAAGAAAGAAAAAUGAGGUGAACGGGGAGGACGAGGAAGGAUUAGAGAAAGUAAAUCCUUAAAGAUUUAAAGUCACAAGGAUUUUCAUGGUUUCUUGGUCCUGUGAUUAAUAUAUUUCUGUUUGAAGCAGCAGUACACGACGCAAAGGCUUCUUUCAUUUUCUGCUGCGGUCGUAAAUAUUGCUUCUUAGAAACAGAACUUUUUUUUUAACGAUGGCAGUCGGGGUCCUUUGGUCCAGAUAUUUCCACAGCUACAUUGGGAUGUUUUGACAGAAACGAUCAAAUAGACAUUCAUGGUCCUCAGAAGAUGAAUAAUAUUGGUGAUCCCCAACUUUUUCCUUCCUUUCAUCACGAAUCCUCAAAACAUAUCGAGAUCUACAAGCUGAAGAAGCCAAAGCAGCAUGUGCAGAUGUUCUGUGUACCUUCAGCGGCGUUUGAGCAAGUGAAAGAUGAACAUACUUUGCUUCUAGUAGCUCUAAACCCGACAUUUGAUAUGCUACUUUUGGGAGUAGGGAAUGUCCUAAAAACUAGUCUCCUUUUUUGACUGUGAUAAAAGAUUAAAUAAAAAACAUGCACACACAUGACAGUAAAUAGUGUCAAACUGAUGAGCGUGCAAUGUGCUUUCAUGUGCGACAGCAGGAAACCAUGAAACAUCGCGAAUGUCUAACAAGACGAACGAUUUAGUCUUGAUCAAUCGCAGACCCCCCCUUAUGAAAAUGAGGAUAACAAAAGCGAUCCUCUGAUCCUCAGCGUCGUCUUGGCGCUUCUCCAUCGCCGGGGACUAAACUGGAUUCUUCCUGUCGAUACGAACCCGCUCGACAGAGAAAUUAUCCCAAACGAGCCUCCAACGAAUCCUCAAAGCCGGUGGCUCAUUGAUUAUCAAUGCUCCAGAAAUCUCCCCUUUAAUGGAGAGCCGGUUGUUUGGCUCCUGGUUGUGGAAGACGAUCAGUUUGCUGCAAAAUAUUGAUCUAAUUACUCUGAUUCCCUUUGACUGUAAUUUCCCGUGUUCCAGAAGGGUGAAGCACGCCAAGGACUCGCUCAUUAAAUGAGUUACACCUUGCUUGCUGACGACAAUAAGCAUUGUUAUUUUGCAUUUUUGCAGGUAAAAUGUUGACAAGUUGUGCGCCUUCGGUUGGGUGCGAAGAUUCUGAUCUCAAAAUGAACAUUUUGAGGUGUGUUUCCCACUCAAUUGGGAUUCGGUGACUCGUCUGCGGCUCCGGGGCUCAGAGGAGCCUCCGUCUCUGUCAAAGCUUCCACCUCCACCAGCUUCUAUUUGUUCACCUGUUUUUUUCCCCACAGCUUCUCUGCUGCGUCUCCAGCAGCACUGCACCGCAACGCUUUAUUAUCUUCCAUCCUCCCAUGCAGCGAUGAACCUACAGGUAAGAAUAGAAGUGACAAUGUGCAAAUUAUAUUUCCUCCCGCGCGGGUAGAAAAGCAGAAAUACAACCAUCCCUUUUUGUUUUGCUCGAUUUCCUUCGCUGCACCACCUUUGCUGCAGUGCGGUUCGGAUUAUGAAUCAAUGAUGCCUUGCAGAAGCGUCCUGAUUGGAUCUAUAAAAGGUAAUGUCGCAUGCAGCUUGACUCGCGUGCGUCCACGGAUGCAGUUUGUGAACACGGACACCCUCGUGCACGCCAGCGUAUGCGGGCCACCAGGUGAAAGGAAACAUCCCCGAUAGUGGAGCGGAGGGCAGAGUGUGAACAAAAGGUCAUUACGGGGGGGCGGAGGGGGGGGUGUAUCUCAGGACAGUGGGCCGUUAUGUCGUUACACCGUAAAAAAAAACACUCAUUAUGUGGCGGUAAUGUCGGCCCCCCGGCGUCCCCGGCUCAACCCGAACACACAAAAUGGUGCCGCUAAACCAACACAGAGGGCUGUUUCCAUUUGCCGGCCGCAACAUGUGGUUCUUGGAAGUUGCUUAUUUUGUAGCUAAGAUGCUUGAAAGUACCGAGGGCGAGGGAACGGAGCGCAGGACCGUUUCAUCUCUGCUCAGUUUGGGUUUGCCUGGCCAGAGAUUUGGAGCCGAGAUACACAUGUGAGCUACAUUUCCUCUGGGUUUGCAUCUUUACUCUGGCUCUCGUCUCUCCAUCAAGGGAAUUAAAAAGGGGGGGUUUUUUUGGUCCGUUGUUGUUUGUGUUUCCAUUGAGACCUGAAGACCUGAGUGGAUUGUGCUUGUUGGAAUGCUUGACUUUGUUUUAAAUGUAAUCAAACGUAGAGAACCGCUCUCCGAUGCUACUAAAUCAACGCUCUCGUGCUUCCUUGUUCUGUGAUUGAAACGUGCACGGGGUUCGAGCAUUGAAACAAAUGUUGUACUUUCUCCUUCAUGGAAACUUUUUGUUUUGACCAAAGUCCACGAGGCCCCGAAAGGGUUCCGAGUCCUCGGGGAAAGUUCAUGUGGUUGAAAUUGUUGGGGGAGAAUUUGCUGAUCUGCAUAUUGAGUUUCUCAACAUGCACCACAGAAAUGAGGCUUUUAUUAAUUAGUGGGUUAAAGCGGGUUCAUCAGAAGCCCUUUUGGGGUUGAAAGCAGCGGCCGGUUGCUGCUGGAAACCAGCGUGAUGCUGAGACCAGUAAACACCCCGUAAGCGUGUAAAGGAGUCGAGAUGUUUUAUACGCACAUCCAGUGUGUUUGGAUGCGACUUCCUACGACCUAAUUCCUUUGAUUUAGAAAAUAAUUGCUCACAGUACGUAGACAAGUCUCAACCCGAGAGCAGCAGCCCUGGCAUGUAACCAGCGGACAUGUUUAUUCCCCCCGCAGUUACAACGACAAAUUGCAGCAUUUACGAGAUUCCGACACAUCAACACAUUUCACUAAACGUCUCCCUCGUGCACCUUUACUCUGCUUCCCUAUAAGUCCCCACGUCAAUCACGCCGCUCACCACCACCACCCUCCUCCUCAGGCAUCUCUCGCCCGUCUCACGCCCUCCACCCUCCAGCGGCCUUUCUGAGCUGAAGUCAAUACGAUCGAUGCGGAUACGGACUGUGGCCACUUGCCUCCCGGCUGCUGUCGAUCCAGCUGAUUGUCGCACGCGCAGAAAGGACGACAGCCUCCGUUGUGUUGCAGACACGCGGGCCGGCCAACGCUUGGAAGGUUUCACCGUUUGCUGGAAAUUCAUGAGAUUAUUUUCUCCGUGACCUUAAAUUCCAAAUGAUGGGCAAAAUGAGGACGACUCCUGCAUCACAGCGGUGAGCCUCUGCUGCUUGCAUUGAGUAGACGUGAGACUUGAGUUUGAACAUUUCACUCUAGAGUUCAAUGAACCACGAAUGGCAUCAACAACCGUCUGCGUGUCUUCCGUUUUAUUUUGACUCGUUUGCGACAAACGCUGCGUCUCCUCUCUGAGCCUCAGAUGAAAUCCUCUCAGCGCUGUCGAUGUUUAAGCGUCACAUAAUGACGGCGAUUACUCGAGAGGCACAGACCCGGUCUCCACGUGGCCCGAGCACAGCGCUCCUCAAUUUUCGGUGCUCCGCGUGCGGCCUUGUGGGGAACCUUUUUCCGCGUUCUCUCCUGGGAGCCGUGAUGGUUGCUUUUAUAAACCCAUCGGCUAUUUGUGCCUCUGCAUUUGAGAAAUCGUUUGGCUCUGUUGGUAAGACCAAAUAAGUGCUUUAUGAGCAAGUGAUCUCCUGCAGGUAAACCGUUGAAGUCACAUCGAUCCACUACAUACUUCUCUGCUGAUGAGCUCUUCCCUCCGUGAAUCUUCUGUCCCUCACUCGGCCUUUCCACAUAACAUUGGACAGACCUGCUGCGUGUGUGUGUGUUAUGAGUGGAUCAUAUAUGUUUUCCCUGCCAGCCCAGCCUCUUUGUUUCCCUUCAGUUUACAGGCCGCGGGGUCUGAUCCAGCAAACACGCCGCUUCUUGCCAAAACCAGCGAAGGUGAGAUUUCUACCCGAGUGUAAUGCAGAGUUUCAGAAUAAAAUCCAAAGAACACACAAAGCUGUUUGGAGGGUUGAGGGGCCGCAGAGGAAGGCAGGGGCCCCACAAGGAGCUCACUCCAAGUUCUGGACGGCUUGUUUCAUUUUGGCCGGUCAGGUUGUGUAACAGUGGGAAGAGAAAUGCAUUUUAUUGCUGACCUCUUGACCCGACUUAGGAUGCCUUCCUACUCUCAUGGAACCUUUGUAAUUACUGGAGUCAUCGAAAUGUUGAGAAAUGUUUGGAAAAAUUCACAUAUUAUCCCCACAAUCACAAUGGCAGCGCUCACCAAUCGACUGUUUCUAAUUUUACCUUUCACAAUAAAAGCCCAAGACAUGCACUGCAUCACUGCUCACAGGGAGGAACAUUCAUUGACCCACAUUUUAACCUGAAGCAGCUCUACAAAAGCAGUAAAAUUAAUGUUUGUAUGAUUAUGAUCCAACGAGGGACGUUGAUCUGAACAUUUAAAUUCAAGCAGCAAUUUUAGGAAAUUAUUUUAGCCACUGUCCAUUGUCUGUUUGGGUCUCUUGUAACCCAAAUAUCCGAAUGUUGUCUGACCUGUCGAUCAUAAAGUCAUUGCUUAACAGAUGUUUAGUGGCGUCCACACAUCUCAGUAGUUGGGUUUAUUCAUUAGGUCAUGAA